CGUCCCACCCCUAUCGAGGCAGUCACACCUUAAAAAAAAAAGGAGGGGUUAUUCCUGCUUUUGCCGUGCUGUGAUCCAGGGCAGAGUUUCUCGUCAACCAGUAAAACAUCCAGUAACACAGCCAAUGGAAAUAAAUGAAUGGGUCUCUGUUUAUAGUGAAGAUUCUUUCGUUCUCCAGCUCCAGGCUUCAUACGGUAAAACUCUCUGGGAAGGAAAGGAACUCAGAGUCCCAUGCAGAAAAUUGUUCAGCUGGAGGGGUAUCAGAAAGAUGGAUUUCCAAAGCCAACUGUUUCCUGUAGUGUGUGGAUCUCUGCAAGCAGAGCCUCAUCUUUCAAUUUCAGCUACAUGAAAGAGGAAGAAAGGGAAAGAUAUAUGUCAUACGUGAUAUACUUUAUGUGGCUUUGAAGACCCCUCUUUUGUGGGGCUACGGCUAAAGAACAUAGUUCCCUGGGAUGGAAUUGGCUCUUCCUAUUUCCCUACUUCAUGAAAACUCCAGUAGAAGACCUUAGAACCUUGUCCUGGUUACAUGGAUAUGUUUACUUUGUGAAAAUUCAUCAAGCACUAUGCACGGUCAUGAUUUGUACAUUUUUUUGUAAGAUAACUUCAUUAAAAUUUACUUUUUUUAUUUUUAAAAA
rnacentral:lncRNA from 1 species